rnacentral:rRNA from 1 species
AAGAUGGCGACCGGCGCACGGGUGAGUAACACGUAUCCAACCUGCCGAUAACUCGGGGAUAGCCUUUCGAAAGAAAGAUUAAUAUCCGAUGGUAUAUUAAGAUCGCAUGAUUUUACUAUUAAAGAAUUUCGGUUAUCGAUGGGGAUGCGUUCCAUUAGUUUGUUGGCGGGGUAACGGCCCACCUAGUCUCCGAUGGAUAGGGGUUCUGAGAGGAAGGUCCCCCACAUUGGAACUGAGACACGGUCCAA